rnacentral:rRNA from 1 species
AAUCAACGCUGGCGGCGUGCCUAACUCAUGCAAGUCGAACGCGAAAGUCCCGCAAGGGAUAAGUAGAGUGGCAAACGGGUGAGUAACACGUGGGUGACCUGCCUUCGAGUGGGGGAUAACGUCCCGAAAGGGACGCUAAUACCGCAUAACAUCCUGCCUUUUAAGAGGUGGAGAUCAAAGCUGGGGACCGCAAGGCCUGGCGCUGGAAGAGGGGCCCGCGUCUGAUUAGCUAGUUGGUGAGGUAACGGCUCACCAAGGCAACGAUCAGUAUCCGGCCUGAGAGGGGCGGACGGGACACACUGGGACUGAGACACGGCCCAGACUCCUACGGGAGGCAGCAGUGGGGAAUUGUUCGCAAUGGGCGCAAGCCUGACGACGCAACGCCGCGUGGAGGAUGAAGACC